rnacentral:lncRNA from 1 species
AACAAGUAGUUGAUAGUGGCUUACGAUUUGGUACUACAGUGUCGACCUUGUGUCGAGUUGAGACUCCAUGUCAGAGACAUGAUGAAAUUGUGAUACCUAUGCUAUGGAUUAUGCUUGCAUGCCAUUGUGCUCAUUCGCACACGCUUGUGGGGGUCGCGCCCUCCAAGCCGGCACUCCGGAGUUAGCGACAGAUUGUUUGCUUAUGUACGAUUUGAGCGCCGAAGUGGAUUACUGUGGGUAAUGUUGACUUCCACAGGGCCAUUAGGCACGGCGCGGCUGGGACCUUAUCCUGUGUAAGUCUCUUGUGAAUUGGGUUAUUAUGAGUUACUUUAACCUUAGACAGACAUAGUAGUAAAAAUACUUUAUGUCAUUGGUUGAGUAAACUUAGUAAUGAACAUACUAGAAGAUUGACAUCCUGGUUAGUUAGCAGUAUAGUGACAGUAUGUUUACACUCUUGCUAGUGUAGGAAUUAACUACAUGAUGUCAUCGGAUAGUUCAUUGAUAAUCAGGAUAUGUUGUAUACGGUCU